rnacentral:tRNA from 1 species
UCUCCUGUAGCUCAAUGGUAGAGCGUCCGACCGGUGUGCGGAAAAUCAUUGGUUCGACUCCUGUUGGGGGAA